rnacentral:rRNA from 2 species
GCAUCACUGGUGUUCGGGUUGUCAUGCCAAUGGCACUGCCCGGUAGCUAAAUGCGGAAGAGAUAAGUGCUGAAAGCAUCUAAGCACGAAACUUGCCCCGAGAUGAGUUCUCCCUGACUCCUUGAGAGUCCUGAAGGAACGUUGAAGACGACGACGUUGAUAGGCCGGGUGUGUAAGCGCAGCGAUGCGUUGAGCUAACCGGUACUAAUGAACCGUGAGGCUUAACCUU